rnacentral:rRNA from 1 species
AGCGAACGCUGGCGGCAGGCCUAACACAUGCAAGUCGAACGAAGUCUUCGGACUUAGUGGCGGACGGGUGAGUAACACGUGGGAACGUACCUUUUGGUUCGGAACAACUCAGGGAAACUUGAGCUAAUACCGGAUGAGCCCUUAGGGGGAAAGAUUUAUCGCCGAAAGAGCGGCCCGCGUUAGAUUAGCUAGUUGGUGAGGUAAAGGCUCACCAAGGCCACGAUCUAUAGCUGGUCUGAGAGGAUUAACAGCCACACUGGGACUGAGACACGGCCCAGACUCCUACGGGAGGCAGCAGUGGGGAAUCUUGCGCAAUGGGCGAAAGCCUGACGCAGCCAUGCCGCGUGAAUGAUGAAGGUCUUAGGAUUGUAAAAUUCUUUUACCAGGGACGAUAAUGACGGUACCUGGAGAAAAAGCCCCGGCUAACUUCGUGCCAGCCGCCGCCGUAAGAC